GGUUGUAUAGCUCAGUGGUAGAGCACCCGCAUACGUAUCGGAAGGUGGGGGGUUCGACUCCCUCUGCCUCCA
rnacentral:tRNA from 1 species